rnacentral:rRNA from 1 species
CCCUUAGAUGUUCUGGGCCGCACGCGCGCUACACUGAUGCAUUCAACGAGUUUCUUCCUGGUCCGAGAGGAAUGGGUAACCUUUUGAAAGUGCAUCGUGAUAGGGAUAGACUAUUGCAAUUAUUGGUCUUCAACGAGGAAUUCCUAGUAGACGUAGUUCAUCAGACUGCAUCGAUUACGUCCCUGCCCUUUGUACACACCGCCCGUCGCUCCUACCGAUUGAAUGCUCAGGUGAGCGAUUCGGACUUUCAUCAUGCUGGUUUCCAGUUUUGAUGAAGGAAAGUCUUGCGAACCUUAUCAUUUAGAGGAAGGAGAAGUCGUAACA